GUGAAUACCUAUCUUAUUAAUAUUGCCUAUCUAAAAAAAAAAUAUUUUAAGUGUUGUCUAUAUAUUAUCUUAUCUAUAUCGGUUUCAGAUUAUUUUUAUACAACACUAGUUGCAUUGCCUAGUCGAGCGGAAAUACCAGUGAUAUGUGAGGUACUGGCAAAAAGGUCGUAAGAAUGUUUUUUUUCUCACCGGAACCGGAAGUCCUUUUGCUUCCUCACGCAUCGACACACGCCAGUAGUCUACCGUCCACCGGCAAUAUGCGUCCUGUGCGUCGACGAGCUUCAGGGCCGGGUGACCGGACACCCCUUGUUCAGUAUAUAGACGAGGCAUGACUGCAGCGACGAACAGCGGCUAAGGAAACACCGUCGACACAUUAACAUGAUAUUUAUAUUUUUAUCGUCAAAAAAUUAUAAUUAUCAUAAGUUUAUUGAUUUAGCGUGUCUUAAGUACUCUUAACCAUUUUUUGUUAAACACAGAACCAGCGUGACUACGAAUAAGAUCUCACCAUACUUACAUUUUUGUAAAAUUUCACUUGGGAAAGAUCAAACGCUAAAAAUAUUACGAGUGGAACUCAGUGGGACGCAAACUACUACGUUAAUGAUGAUGGCAAUAAUAAUUUUAUUAUGUCAAUAAUAUUUUUUAUAAUCAACUACGGAUAUUAAUCGAAACAUCCAGAAAGUUUUUCGAUCCGCUACGAGAAUUUCCCAACUCAAAUCCAUACACAUUAUAUUAUGAAAAUGGCCAGAUGCACAGUAAUAAUCAAGUUAAAUAUUAAUUUAUUUAAAUUUUGUUUUUGCCCAUCCAAAUAAUCGACUAGGGGAAUAUAGCGCGUCACAUUAUAUUUCGUUUGUGACGACUCAGUGGAUUUUCUCCGUAAGUCGUAACUCCCUUCGAAUUCAGUGGUUUUAUGUUAUAUCCAUAUUCUAACGACGGGUAAAGAAUUUCAGAAAACCAAAACAAAGUACUCUGUAUUCCAUUUCACCCCUCUACCGUCUCGUCGUCGUAGUCAGUUACUAGUUUAAUAUACAGGAACUCUUUGACCAAAAAUGCAUUGGGACUCUAGUGAAUUAGAUUCGGUAAAUGUAUAUUUUACCCCGUGUUACAGUGCUACACGCUAUGUAACUAAAUAUUUUUUUAUAAAUUGUAAAGGAGUUAAUUUUUUUUUUUUUUUAAUGUUUAUGUAUUAUUUCUAUAUUAUUAUAGAAACAUCAACAUUUGAAAGAAAAUUUUCUAAUUUAUUGAAGUGUAUAUUAUUAUAUUAUGCACAUUAAUGAUAAUAGAUAAAUAAAAUGUUGAGUUAAAUAC